CAUGAUGUUCUAUUUAUUGUAACUAGAGGUUUAGCGGGGUCGUGGACGUAGUUGUUGGUCUUUGUAAAUCUUUGCCGGUGAUGUAGUCUUUAUGUAGUUGUUGUUUUGUAGUCUAUUUCAAUGAGUGUGUGUUGUUGUAAUUCGUUGGGGGUUAGCUGAAGGUUAAGAAUUGUAGGACUCGUCUCUGCUCUAGUGACGGAGUACAUCUUCUGCCAUAUAAUCAUCCCAAGAAUGAUUUCAUAGUUUUUUUGGUUCUAUAAGGACUAUUACAAAUAGGUAGCAAAUACAUUUCCCAUUGGCAUGUUUCACUCAUUGCAUCAUGUCACUCCUUGUCUGCACCGAGCAACCUCUAGCAUAGCAGUCAGAUUGAAUUUAAAACUUCUGAUUCAAGAUUAUGUGACUGGUCCAAGAAUUAUGAACCAAUAAGAUGA
rnacentral:lncRNA from 1 species